CUCUUCUUCUAUCUACCCCUCUGUUUCUUUCUCGGAAUCGAGCCAAUCCCGCAAAACACACCAUCUCACUAACUUUCUCCUAAUUCCAUGGCCGCAGUGGUGGCGGCUCUACAAUUUGAGAUCAUAUGGCUCAUAUCUGGGGGACUAGGAUGAGACAGAGGGAGAUAGUGGGGUUGAAGGCCAAAUCUAUUGAGGUUCAACUCAAAACCUGGUAAUUGGAAAGCGAAAAUGGCAACCCCACUAGCAAAUAUCCACAAAAUAUCAAUAAAUAAAAAAAUAUCCACAAAAUAUGAAGAACCUAAAACCUAGAAAACAGAAGCUGAGGGCGCCGUAGAACUCAUACAAACCUUGUCCACGCCAGCAAAGAUUUUAAAUUUUCUUGUUUUCUAAAAUUUAAGAAAGAAAAAAAAAAUCACCUGAAAGAAGGAAAUGAAUGAUGAGAUACGUAUAUGAUGAAAGAGAUGAACAUAUGGAUAAAUGGGUUAAGGUUGUUUUCUUUUUGGUUGAUUUUGUGUAAAUUGGAAUUGGCGUUAACAAGGGUGGUGAGUUUUGAGCUUUUAACGAUUUGGAUUGUAUUGACUUUUUUAGAGAGAAGGAAUUUGGAAGAAAAUGUCUCCUUUCUUUCCUUCUCUACAAAGUGGUUAGUCUACCAUUUCCAAACUUUCCCAGAAUUACUCAAGCCAUUGUACCUAGCCUCAUACCCAAGCCCCGAUUUGCAAGGCCCAAGCCACUGUACCUCUUUGUCUCUCUAUCUCCCCCAAAAUUUAUCAAGUUUUAUUUUGGAUUUAGGGUUGAUGAAGAGAUGAAAUUUGAGGAAAUAGCAUGAGAAGACGAGCAGAAGGAGAGGGUGUGUAUCGGGGAAGGGAGAAAGAGAGAGCGGGGGCGGCUGGGGAUGAGCGC
rnacentral:lncRNA from 1 species